GAUGAAGAACGUAGCGAAAUGCGAUACGUAAUGUGAAUUGCAGAAUUCAGUGAAUCAUCGAAUCUUUGAACGCAUAUUGCGCUCUCUGGUAUUCCGGAGAGCAUGCUUGUUUGAGUAUCAGUAAACACCUCAACUCCCUUUUCUUUUUUGAAAUUGGAGCUGGACUUGAGUGAUCCCAACGCUUUCUUCCAAGAAAGUGGCGGGUUGCUUGAAAUGCAGGUGCAGCUGAACUUUUCUCUGAGCUAUACGCAUAUCUAUUUAGUCUGCCUAAAAAACAGAUUAUUACCUUUGCUGCAGCUAACAUAAAGGAGACUAGUUCUUGUGCUGACUGAUGCAGGAUUCACAGAGACAGCUUCGGCUGACUUUGUAAACUCGAUCUCAAAUCAAGUAAGACUACCCGCUGAACUUAAGCAUAUCAAUAAGCGGAGG
rnacentral:misc_RNA from 1 species